UUUCUACUCCCUCCGUCCGAAAAUAUUUGUCAUCAAAAUGGAUAAAAAGAGAUGUAUCUAAAACUAAAAUACGUCUAGAUACAUUUCCUUUUAUCCAUUUUGAUGACAAGUAUUUCCGGAUGGAUGGAGUAUUUG
rnacentral:pre_miRNA from 1 species